rnacentral:tRNA from 1 species
GCGCAUUUGGUGUAGGGGUAUCAUAGUACCCUCCCAUUGUAUUGAUCGGGGUUCAWUUCCCUGGAUACACU